UGAGGCUCUGAAACAUCAGGCCUUGCAAAGUAUUACAAAGAUGGGACAUCGGCACAUUGAAUUCACAUUGGAAAAACUUUCUAAAGUCACAGAAUAAGAGUCACUGAUGCUUUGUAAAUAUAAUGCAGAAACAGUUUGGUGCAAUGGGGAAAACAGGAACCAGAAUGAGGAUCCUGGAGUGGUGAUAAUAAAGUCAAUGCUGUGGAAUCAGGGUGCAGGUCACACACCAAUUCUGCCUCAAGUUCUUUCAGG